rnacentral:rRNA from 1 species
GCGGACGGGUGAGUAACACGUGGGUAACCUGCCUGUAAGACUGGGAUAACUCCGGGAAACCGGAGCUAAUACCGGAUAGUUCCUUGAACCGCAUGGUUCAAGGAUGAAAGACGGUUUCGGCUGUCACUUACAGAUGGACCCGCGGCGCAUUAGCUAGUUGGUGGGGUAAUGGCUCACCAAGGCGACGAUGCGUAGCCGACCUGAGAGGGUGAUCGGCCACACUGGGACUGAGACACGGCCCAGACUCCUACGGGAGGCAGCAGUAGGGAAUCUUCCGCAAUGGACGAAAGUCUGACGGAGCAACGCCGCGUGAGUGAUGAAGGUUUUCGGAUCGUAAAGCUCUGUUGUUAGGGAAGAACAAGUGCGAGAGUAACUGCUCGCACCUUGACGGUACCUAACCAGAAAGCCACGGCUAACUACGUGCCAGCAGCCGCGGUAAUACGUAGGUGGCAAGCGUUGUCCGGAAUUAUUGGGCGUAAAGGGCUCGCAGGCGGUUUCUUAAGUCUGAUGUGAAAGCCCCCGGCUCAACCGGGGAGGGUCAUUGGAAA